CUUACCUCUCUCUCUCUCUCUCUCUAAACUCAUUUUUUCUAUUUUAUCUCUCUAGAAACCCACCCAACACCAAACUUCCCUCUAAGAUCUAGCAAGAUUCAUCAAGAAUUUGGUAGGGGUUCCUUAUACCAAAUCGAAGAGGGCGACAAGGGCGACAUUUUCACCAACCGAAUUGCAUUUCCAUCGAUGUUGAAUUUUGGGGUUUUCUAUCAUCUUCUUCUUAGAAUUUGAAGGAAAUAUGUGAUGAUCUCGCCUAAGUGAACACAUGGUGGAUAUUAUGGAGCACGAGGCUCUUGUUUUGUUAUUUUGUUUUUUUGACAAGCCAAGUGCUUAACAUGUAUGGGUGAGACCCACUUAUUUCUAAUCGGGCUUGAGCCUUUGAAUUUGUAGCCCACAGGGGCAUAGUUGUUUAUAUUAAAUUUUCGAUGAAUAAUUAAUCAUAUAUUGUAAAUUCAUGUUUCUAGAA